CCAAUCUGCCCAAUGAUUGAAAAUUAAAUGGCUGCAGUAUUUUAACUGUACUAAGGUAGCAUAAUAAUUUGUUUUUUAAUUAAAAACUAGAAUAAAAGAUUUUAUGAGAUAUAUACUUUAUUUUUAAAAAUUAUUUAAUUUAUUAUUUAAGUAAAAAAACUUAAAUAAAUUUAAAAGACAAUAAGACCCUAUAAAAUUUUAUUAAAAAUUAUUUAUAAAAUAAUUAAUUUAUUAAUUUAUAAAUAACUUAUAAUUUAAUUGGGGUAAUUAAAAAAUUCAAAAAACUUUUUUAAAAAAAACAUAAAUUAAUGAAUUUUAUAUUUAAAAAUUUUAAUUAAUAAAAUUAAUUACUUUAGGGAUAACAGCAUAA
rnacentral:rRNA from 1 species